CUCUCCUCCGCGCGCGCGGACCCUCUGCUCUCCAACCACCGCCGGUUGCAGAGCACGGCACGAUUCUGAAGGCAGCCAACGCUGUCUGUGAUUUCAAAAGAAAGCUUCGCCCUCACUUUUCUCUCUCUCUCCCGUUCUCCCACGUUUGCGCUGGCAUUGUGUCCUGCCGACUGGGAGAAAGAGCAGUUCAUUUGGGGCCCGUCUUUGGAAUAAGAAAUCAUUGCUGUUUCUGACUGGAGCGAAGAAAGAUAAGACUCCUCUGGAUUUCUUUGGAUUGUAAUUUUCUGGAUGGCUUGUUUCCGAGGAUUUGCAAACAUCUACCGGGAUAUAUAGUA